GACGAACGCUGGCGGCGUGCCUAAUACAUGCAAGUCGAACGCUUCUUUCCUCCCGAGUGCUUGCACUCUAUUGGAAAGAGGAGUGGCGGACGGGUGAGUAACACGUGGGUAACCUACCCAUCAGAGGGGGAUAACACUUGGAAACAGGUGCUAAUACCGCAUAACAGUUUAUGCCGCAUGGCAUAAGAGUGAAAGGCGCUUUCGGGUGUCGCUGAUGGAUGGACCCGCGGUGCAUUAGCUAGUUGGUGGGGUAACGGUUCACCAAGGCCACGAUGCAUAGCCGAACUGCGAGGGGGAUCGGCCGCCCUGGGACUGGGACACGGCCCGGACUCCUACGGGAGGCAGCAGUAGGGAAUCUUAGGCAAUGGACGAAAGUCUGACCGAGCAGCGCCGCGUGAGUGAAGAAGGUUUUCGGAUCGUAAAACUCUGUUGUUAGAGAAGAACAAGGACGUUAGUAACUGAACGUCCCCUGACGGUAUCUAACCAGAAAGCCACGGCUAACUACGUG
rnacentral:rRNA from 1 species